UCGUGCGAAGGUAGCAUAAUCAUUAGCUUCUUAAUUAGGAGCUGGUAUGAAGGAUUGGACGAGAUGCUUUCUGUCUCUAUUUAAAAAGUUGAAUUUUAUUUUUUAGUUAAAAAGCUUAAAUUUGUUUGUAAGACGAGAAGACCCUAUAGAGUUUUAUAUUUUUUUUAAUUUGAAAUUAAUUGUAGUAGAGAAUUUUUUGAGUUUUAAAAUAUUUGGUUGGGGUGACAGAAAAAUUAAAUAAACUUUUUCUUUUUUUUAUAUAGAUUUAUAGGUUUUUGACUUAAUGUUUUAGUUAUAAGAUUAAAUUACCUUAGGGAUAACAGCGUAUUUUUUCUAAAGAGUUCUUAUCGAAAGAAAAGAUUGCGACCUCGAUGUUGGAUUAAAGUUAAAAAUUGGUGUAGAAGCUUGAAUAUUUUAGUCUGUUCGACUAUUAAAACUUUACAUGAUCUGAGUUUAGACCGGCGUGAGCCAGGUCGGUUUCUAUCUUCAAUAGUUUAAAAUAUUUUAGUACGAAAGGACCAAAUAUUAUUUAUAUUAAUUGAGAAUUGACUUAUAUU
rnacentral:rRNA from 1 species